ACAGACCACACACCGCGGACCACCCCUCGCCCGGCACAUCCUCCUCAGAGCAACAGGCCAGCCAGAAGAUGCGAAGCUCAUGGUGACCUUGGCAGGCAGACAGGUGGCAUCAGGAUGGUCUGGGCCUGCAGGGCCACCCUGUCCCUUCAGGUGGCUUCAUGGAGAGCACCAAGAAGUGUGAUCUCAGCAUUCAUGUGUGACCUGACCCACAUCCUUCCUGGUGCCUGAGGAUGCGAGGAGGCUGCUAUGCUGGGGCUGAGCCCUGCCAGGCGUCCUGCUUGCAUCCCUGCAGCUGGGGCUGAGGCUGUCCUGCAGGGAGGGCUGGUGGGCCCUGAGGCAGAAUCCCACUGCCACUUCAGAAAGUAGAGAAGAAGCCAGGUGUGGUGGGGCCAGUGGCCAUCUGCCGGGACUUCAGGGAGACCAGACACACAGGAAGAGGCACUUUCUCCAGACACCUCCUUUAGGGGCAGGGCACAAGGCCUGGAACAAGGCUGCCUCUGACCAGAGCAACAGAGCCUGCUCUGAGGAUGGCAGAGCCUAGAGCAGGCAAGCUGUCAAGAUUCUGGGUUGAGGGUCACAGGACAGGAGGCUGGACUCCCGCUGAUAUGAUUUGGGUUUGUGUCCCCACCCAAAUCUCAUGUUCAAUUGUAAUCCCCAGUGUUGGAGGUUGGAGGCGAUUGGAUCAUGGGGGCGGAGUUCUCAUGAAUGGGUUAGCACCAUCCCCUCGGUGCUAUUCUCCUGUUAGUGAGUGAGUGAGUUCUGGAGGGAUCUGACUGUUUGAAAGUGUGGGGCACCUCCCCCUUCUCUCUCUUGCUCCUGCCAUGUGAGACACCUGCUCCAACUCUGCCUUCCACUAUGAGUGAAAGCUCCCUGAGGCCUUCCCAGAAGCAAAUGCUGCCAUGAUUCCUGUAAAGUUUGCAGAGCCAUGAUCUAAUUAAACCUCUUUUCUUUAUAAAUUACCCAGUCUCCGGCUUUUUUUUUUUUUUUUUUGGAGAUGGAGUCUCCCUCUAUCACCCAGGCUGGAGUGCAGUGACAUGAUCUCAGCUCACUGCAACCUCCACCUUCUGGGUUUAAGCGAUUCUCUUGCCUCAGCCUCUCAAGUAGCUGGGAUUACAGGUGCACGCCACCAUGCCCAGCUAAUUUUUGUAUUUUUAGUAGAGACAGGGUUUCACCGUGUUGGCCAGGCUGAUCUCAAACUUCCUGACCCAAGUGAUCUGCCCACUUCAGCUUCCCAAAGUGCUGGGAUUACAGGCAUGAGCCACCGUGCCCGGCCAAGGCCCUUCUUUAUAGCAGUGUGAGAACAGACUACUACACUCGCAAAGGCUCCCUCUCAGAGUCCACCCUUGCUGUCUCCACACAGCAGCCGGGGGGGAUCUCUUAGAACCUGAGUCAGAAGCUCCGUGACUCCCAC
rnacentral:lncRNA from 10 species